rnacentral:piRNA from 1 species
UGGGAUUAAAGGUGUGCACUACCACACCCCGC